CCAAUAGCGUAUAUUAAAGUUGUUGCAGUUAAAAAGCUCGUAGUUGAAUUUCGGAAUCAGUACGCCGGUCGUGCCUCCGGUAUGUACUGGUGUCACUGGUUCCUCCCUUCUGAAGAACCAUCAUGCCAUUCACUUGGUGUGGUGGGGAAUCAGGACUGUUACUUUGAAAAAAUUAGAGUGUUUAAAGCAGGCUCACGCUUGAAUACAUUAGCAUGGAAUAAUGAAAUAGGACGUUGAUCUUAUUUUGUUGGUUUCUAGGAUUGACGUAAUGAUUAAUAGGGAUAGUUGGGGGCAUUAGUAUUCAAUUGUCAGAGGUGAAAUUCUUGGAUUUAUUGAAGACUAACUACUGCGAAAGCAUUUGCCAAGGAUGUUUUCAUUAAUCAAGAACGAAAGUUAGGGGAUCGAAGACGAUCAGAUACCGUCGUAGUCUUAACCAUAAACUAUGCCGACUAGGGAUCGGAUGAUGUUAAUUUUUUAAUGACUCAUUCGGCGCCUUACG
rnacentral:rRNA from 1 species